UCUCUUUGCUUUGCAUCCUCUCCUGACGAAAUCAUUCAUGCCCACCACCUGCCAUCGUGAAAACCGAGACAACAGGACUUUCCCCACAGGUGAUUUCUAAGAACUUGAACUAAACAGAGCUAUUUGGAUUUGAGGCGGUUGCUAACAUGUCGUCCAACACAGAUCAGAAACACAACUGUGGCUUCAAAGGUUUCACGCAGAGGCCAGCAGGGUCACGCCGAAAUGGCCUUUUUUAGGAGGUGGCCUGUUGUACGAGGAGCACACGCCUUUGGGAGGCCAGGCCAUGAAGUGCCGCGUCCCUGAAUACCGUAAGUCCUCGGCAGUCGGGAGAGAAGCUGAAGCUUCUGGUGACAGAAGGCUGUUGGAGUUCCGUCCCCCGUGGAGCUGUGAGGGUUCCACGUCUUUGAACGAGGCUGGGAGACUCACUCCCAGGAAGGCUGGGAUGAGCUGGAAAGAGAGCCUGCACACGUACAUCCAGUUGGCGGAGCACCUUCCACUGGACUGAACGCGCAAGAUGUCUUCACUCUGAUGGAGCCCCUCAGCACUCCGGGAGGUUCGGGCAAACGGGGCCUCCACGGGGCCGCCGGGAGCGAAGGUAGGCUGCACCCUACGGUCACUGCCGUACUCGCUGCUCAUGAGCGGCGAUUUCAGCAAAAUAUCCUCAGUCUCAUUGAAUUAAUGCUAGUUAACUGUAGUAGUUUUAUUUGGUAGAUUUAUUUUGAUACAUGGUCAAUGUAUGUACCCAGGGUUUUUACCCACUUCAUG